AUUGAACGCUGGCGGCAUGCCUUACACAUGCAAGUCGAACGGCAGCACGGGAGCAAUCCUGGUGGCGAGUGGCGAACGGGUGAGUAAUAUAUCGGAACGUGCCCAGUCGUGGGGGAGAACGUAGCGAAAGCUACGCUAAUAACGCAUACGAUCUAUGGAUGAAAGCGGGGGAUCGCAAGACUUCGCGCGAUUGGAGCGGACGAUAUCAGAUUAGCUAGUUGGUGGGGUAAAGGCCCACCAAGGCGACGAGCUGUAGCUGGUCUGAGAGGACGACCAGCCACACUGGGACUGAGACACGGCCCAGACUCCUACGGGAGGCAGCAGUGGGGAAUUUUGGACAAUGGGCGCAAGCCUGAUCCAGCAAUGCCGCGUGCAGGACGAAGGCCUUCGGGCUGUAAACUGCUUUUGUACGGAACGAAACGGCCCCUUCUAAUACAGGGGGCUAAUGACGGUACCGUAAGAAUAAGCACCGGCUAACUACGUGCCAGCAGCCGCAGUAAUAC
rnacentral:rRNA from 1 species